GUGGGGAAUAUUGCACAAUGGGGGAAACCCUGAUGCAGCGACGCCGCGUGAGUGAAGAAGUAUUUCGGUACGUAAAGCUCUAUCCGCAAGGAAGAAAAUGACGGUACUUGACUAAGAAGCCCCGGCUAACUACGUGCCAGCAGCCGCGGUAAUACGUAGGGGGCAAGCGUUAUCCGGAUUUACUGGGUGUAAAGGGAGCGUACACGGUAUGGUAAGUCAGAUGUGAAAGCCCGGGGCUCAACCCCGGGACUGCAUUUGAAACUAUCAGACUAGAGUGCAGGAGAGGUAAGUGGAAUUCCUAGUGUAGCGGUGAAAUGCGUAGAUAUUAGGAGGAACACCAGUGGCGAAGGCGGAUUACUGGACGAUAACUGACGCUGAGGCGCGAAAGCGUGGGGAGCAAACAGGAUUAGAAACCCUGGUAGUCC
rnacentral:rRNA from 1 species